rnacentral:rRNA from 2 species
ACCUGACUGCUAUCGGAUUGAUACUAAGCCAUGCGAGUCAUUGUAGCAAUACAAGGCAGACGGCUCAGUAACGCGUAGUCAACCUAACCUAUGGACGGGAAUAACCUCGGGAAACUGAGAAUAAUACCCGAUAGAACACUAUGUCUGGAAUGAUUUGUGUUCCAAAUGAUUUAUCGCCGUAGGAUGGGACUGCGGCCUAUCAGUUUGUUGGUGAGGUAAUGGCCCACCAAGACUAUUACAGGUACGGGCUCUGAGAGGAGUAGCCCGGAGAUGGGUACUGAGACACGGACCCAGGCCCUAUGGGGCGCAGCAGGCGAGAAAACUUUGCAAUGUGCGAAAGCACGACAAGGUUAAUCCGAGUGGUUUGUGCUAAACAGACCUUUUGUUAGUCCUAGAAACACUAACGAAUAAGGGGUGGGCAAGUUCUGGUGUCAGCCGCCGCGGUAAAACCAGCACCUCAAGUGGUCAGGAUGAUUAUUGGGCCUAAAGCAUCCGUAGCCGGCUCUGUAAGUUUUCGGUUAAAUCUGUAUGCUCAACAUACAGGCUGCCGGGAAUACUGCAGAGCUAGGGAGUGGGAGAGGUAGACGGUACUCGGUAGGAAGGGGUAAAAUCCUUUGAUCUAUUGAUGACCACCUGUGGCGAAGGCGGUCUACCAGAACACGUCCGACGGUGAGGGAUGAAAGCUGGGGGAGCAAACCGGAUUAGAUACCCGGGUAGUCCCAGCUGUAAACUAUGCAAACUCAGUGAUGCAUUGGCUUGUGGCCAAUGCAGUGCUGCAGGGAAGCCGUUAAGUUUGCCGCCUGGGAAGUACGUACGCAAGUAUGAAACUUAAAGGAAUUGGCGGGGGAGCACCACAAGGGGUGAAGCCUGCGGUUC